GAUGAACGCUGGCGGCGCGCCUAACACAUGCAAGUCGAACGGCACCCCUCCUCGGAGGGAAGCGAGUGGCGAGCGGCUGAGUAACACGUGGAGAACCUGCCCCCUCCCCCGGGAUAGCCGCCCGAAAGGACGGGUAAUACCGGAUACCCCGGGGUGCCGCAUGGCACCCCGGCUAAAGCCCCGACGGGAGGGGAUGGCUCCGCGGCCCAUCAGGUAGACGGCGGGGUGACGGCCCACCGUGCCGACAACGGGUAGCCGGGUUGAGAGACCGACCGGCCAGAUUGGGACUGAGACACGGCCCAGACUCCUACGGGAGGCAGCAGUGGGGAAUCUUGCGCAAUGGGGGGAACCCUGACGCAGCGACGCCGCGUGCGGGACGGAGGCCUUCGGGUCGUAAACCGCUUUCAGCAGGGAAGAGUCAAGACUGUACCUGCAGAAGAAGCCCCGGCUAACUACGUG
rnacentral:rRNA from 1 species